CCCCAGCCAUGGCCACGGGAACAGUCAGACCCACAGGAACAACGCAAAAGCCCGCCUUGUGAGCCCAGACAAGGACGUGUGCUGUGAGAGGCCGACUAGAGCAUGUUCUCCCCAGGACUAGAUGUGGUUGCUCUGCCUCUUGGUGGACGUAGAAAAAUGAAAACAUUUCUAUGAGCCUGUGAAAACGUAGGAGUCCAAAUCACUGC